CACAGCUUCAGGGGGACGCAUGGAGGCUGGCAAGAUAGGGAAAUCCUGUGGCCAAAAGCUUUUGGAGCAAGCAGUUUCUCCUCCCACUUGCAGAGACCACACUUAGAUUUUUGUGGUGUCAUAAAUAUGCUCUUUAGUGUGCGCACUAAUAGGUCUCUGGAACACAUCUGGGUUUGGUGGCUCCGGACCCCCAGGCGUGUGCAUGACGGCGAGGGCAGCUUUCAUCGGAGAAUUUGAGUGUUUUACCAACUCGGAGAGCCAGGGGUAAACACACAAACUUACCCCAAGUCCGGCUUCCCUCAGCGAUGUCACGGAGCCAAGCCGUUAAGGAGCACAGAAAACUGGGCACCUAGCUCCCUUUGCAAAUCUUCAUCUCAAGCCUGCGUUCAAGUCCCUGGGCUCACAACAUUUCCAACUUCUUAUCUGACCGCCAUGAUCUUUCUUCUGGUUUCUUAUUCACUGAAGAAUUCACGUCCUUUGUUCUAAUCUGAUAUGGUAAUAUGCAUGAGUUGAUUUCUUUUUUGGUCUGUGUU